rnacentral:rRNA from 1 species
GGAUUAGAUACCCUGGUAGUCCACGCCGUAAACGAUGUCUACUAGCCGUUGGGGAACUUGAUUCCUUAGUGGCGCAGCUAACGCAAUAAGUAGACCGCCUGGGGAGUACGGUCGCAAGAUUAAAACUCAAAUGAAUUGACGGGGGCCCGCACAAGCGGUGGAGCAUGUGGUUUAAUUCGAUGCAACGCGAAGAACCUUACCAGGUCUUGACAUCCAGAGAAGUUACCAGAGAUGGUUUCGUGCCUUCGGGAACUCUGUGACAGGUGCUGCAUGGCUGUCGUCAGCUCGUGUCG